rnacentral:lncRNA from 1 species
CCGUCUUGAAAAUGCCGUUAAACAAAUCAGUUAACCACCUUAUAUAAGAGCAAAAAUUUAUUUGAUUUUGAAAAUGAGUUUAUAUAAAUAUGUUUUACCCUAAAGCAAAAUAAGGAUGUUAAAACAUAUUAGCUAGGUAGUAAAAUGGGCUUGCGCAUAAUUAAAAUAUCACACUAAUAUUUAUUUGUAAAAGUUCAGUAGACGAAAGUGAUAAAAUAUGUAAUAGAAAAAAAACAAAAUUAAAAAGUAAAAUAUUCAUAUUCAUAGUUACGGUUAAAAUAUAGUGUAAAUAAUAAUACUUAAAAUAAAUAAGUAAAUAAUAAUAAUGAUGAAAUAAACCUUGUAUAUGGUAGCUUAUAUGUAUAUAGCUCGCAUUUUGAACCUUUGAAAUCUGAGGAAAACUCAAAACAAGUGUCGAGAAUUAACACAUUAAAAUUACUUAACUUGUCAAAGUAAAAGGAAAAACAAGAUCAUCUCGAAAAAUCUAAGUUUCUUAAUGAUUCACUUUCCUACUUAGUUAGCUUUGAAAUUUCCUUCCCUAUUUCUAGAAAGGGCAUGGAAAUUACAACGUCCAUUGAUUAGCAAGCCUCUUUAAAAUAAAAUAACAAACUAAAUACUUAGUCAAAAAUUUAAGAUUCGCUAGUCUUUGAAGACGAUUGCUUCUAUGGACUAAUUAAUUAAGCAUUAACUGCAACAAUGUGAUAACAACAUUUAAAAUAUCAACACAUAAUAAAGAAAUUGUAAAACAAUAAAUCAAUAAAGUGUCUCAAACAGAAUUAAUAACAACACAAAGUUAAUCAUUAUUCUAAAAAGGGCAUAAUAUAAUAUGAGUAAAUUAUCGAAGAACAACUAAAGAUGGUACUAGACUCCGUCUCGGGGGUUUAAUUUUUCAAGUAUAUGCAAUCCCGAAGCUCUGUAAUCCUACUAGCGAUUGACCCGAUGGUUGGGUCAAAAUGAGUUCCGUUGUGGAACUCCAACUCCCGAGUUCACAUGCAAAAUAAAAGGAUAAGGAUUAGUAACUAAGUAAUGAAUUGCAAAAAUAUAAUAGAAGUGAGUCAACAAGAGCAUUCCACCGAAAUCAUACUUCAAGGAGUCAAAAGUGAGGACUCAAACGUUCAUUAGCACAGAGCUUGUUAACUUUUAACAAAAUAGAGGGCCGCUUGAAGCGAAACCCAUGUAUGGAUAAAUAUAGGUAAUUAACUUCCCCUUUAGAAAAAGAAAAAGUUGAUUAACUACGUACAAAUGUUACUAAAAUAGAAUAAUAAACGGAGACAGUGAGAAAUCAAAGGAGCCGAAUCCUUCUGUCAAGUUGAAUGAAUACUAUGUUACUUUUUUUUUUUUCCUUUUUUUACUGUCCCUUUCCUUUCUAUAGUUUUGGGUUCGAUCUGCUAUUCCAAAUUCCAACUAUCUACACAUGUAUAAUUGGUCAUUCUGUAUUAAAAUUUUGGUCUACAUUAUUAACAUAAGGAUCAAUUCCUAGCAACUAUUUAAUUGAGUCAAAAGUUGUUGCUAGUUGUGGGGGUUUCUUUUGGAGAAAGUUCGCCUAAUAAAAGUAACUAUUGAAUGUGGGAAACAAUUGUUUAGAAGAGUAAAUAAUUAAGUUUAAAAUAAGUUUCCGAGACAAGUAUAGGAGGGUAAAAGAAAGAGUAAAACAAUUAGACAUUAUACGAGUUGCAAACAAAAAUGAAAUAAAUAAAUAAAGCACGGAAACAGUCAGAGAACACUUCCAACCAUUUUUCAGUCAAGGAAAUAUAAAAAUGAGCUUGUCAUUAAGUAGCAACCAAAUCAAAUACCGUAUACAGUAAAUUCACAUCAAGAUUCAAUCCAUUGCUUCAGUAGGAAGGAAAAAUAAAACACCCAAUUAAUCCAAACAACAUAAAUCAAAUAACCAAUACAUAAAAAUGUAAUAUUCUCACUGGUAAGCGAUAGAAUCAAAUAUCUUUUACUAUAAAAUUCAUCUCCAAGUAACAAACAUGGUUUGAACAAAUUUAGACAGAAUCCUGUAUUCACACCAUCGAGGCAAACAAAAGAGGAAGAGACGAAAAGCGAAAACAAAAGCAGCGAGUUCGUACCUUUUGUCAGGCAGCGAAACUGGGAUUUCACGUCAAGUAGUUUCCGGCGAUUAAACUCGAACCAGAAAAAAACUUACUCUAGAACCGAAGAAAAAGAAGUGGAGGAGAAGUGACCGAAUCAAAAACUCACUCUAGAACAGAAGCAAGAAUUUUCGGAACUCUGUCUUUCUUCCUUUCGACAUUUUUUUUUUCGAUUUCAAACCUAUUUUCCUCGAAGCUAAUUCCUUUUCUCUAUCACGAAUUUUUUUGGCUUUUUUUUUCUCAAUCUUGAACCUUUCUCUCGGAUUUCUUUCUCUCAAAAAUUCCCUCAUCUUUCACUCUUCUUUUCUCCGAUUUUGAAGCUAAUUUCCUCUAAAAGAAAUCGCCUUCAAAAUUGUUUCUCACUCUCAAAAAUUGCUUCAAAAUUCUGUACCAAAAUCCUCUACCUUCAUAGGGGAUGAAAACACCAUAUUUAAUUGAAAACGGGAAGAAAAUAUAUAUAUGAUACAUACACACACACAUAUAUAUAUAUAUAAAUAAGAAAAUAAUAAAAUAUAAAAUAUACUCUAUAUAACAAAAAUAUAAAUAUAUAUGAUCGCAAUAUCGCCCAAA